AGCGAAUGGUGGAUGCCUUGACUGGUAAAGGCGAUGAAGGACGUACUAGACUGCGAUAAGCUACGGGGAGCUGUCAAGAAGCUUUGAUCCGUAGAUUUCCGAAUGGGGCAACCCAAUGUAUAGAGAUAUACAUUACCUAUAUAGGAGCGAACGAGGGGAAUUGAAACAUCUUAGUACCCUCAGGAAAAGAAAUCAAUAGAGAUUGCGUCAGUAGCGGCGAGCGAAAGCGCAAGAGGGCAAACCCAGUGCUUGCACUGGGGGUUGUAGGACUGCAAUGUGCAAGAGCUGAGUUUAGCAGAACAUUCUGGAAAGUAUAGCCAUAGAGGGUGAUAGUCCCGUAUGCGAAAAACAAAGCUUAGCUAGCAGUAUCCUGAGUAGGGCGGGACACGAGAAAUCCUGUCUGAAUCCGGGUCGACCACGAUCCAACCCUAAAUACUAAUACCAGAUCGAUAGUGCACAAGUACCGUGAGGGAAAGGUGAAAAGAACUGAGGUGAUCAGAGUGAAAUAGAACCUGAAACCAUUUGCUUACAAUCAUUCAGAGCCCUAUGUAGCAAUACAGGGUGAUGGACUGCCUUUUGCAUAAUGAGCCUGCGAGUUGUGGUGUCUGGCAAGGUUAAGCAAACGCGAAGCCGUAGCGAAAGCGAGUCUGAAUAGGGCGCUUAGUCAGAUGCUGCAGACCCGAAACGAAGUGAUCUAUCCAUGAGCAAGUUGAAGCUAGUGUAAGAACUAGUGGAGGACUGAACCCAUAGGCGUUGAAAAGCCCCGGGAUGACUUGUGGAUAGGGGUGAAAGGCCAAUCAAACUUCGUGAUAGCUGGUUCUCUCCGAAAUAUAUUUAGGUAUAGCGUUGUGUCGUAAUAUAAGGGGGUAGAGCACUGAAUGGGCUAGGGCAUACACCAAUGUACCAAACCCUAUCAAACUCCGAAUACCUUAUAUGUAAUCACAGCAGUCAGGCGGCGAGUGAUAAAAUCCGUCGUCAAGAGGGAAACAACCCAGACUACCAGCUAAGGUCCCUAAAUCUUACUUAAGUGGAAAACGAUGUGAAGUUACUUAAACAACCAGGAGGUUGGCUUAGAAGCAGCCAUCCUUUAAAGAAAGCGUAAUAGCUCACUGGUCUAGUGAUUUUGCGCGGAAAAUA
rnacentral:rRNA from 1 species